UCUCAGGUUCAUACCUGUGUUCACUUCCUCCUCAAUACCUGCCCCUCCCCUGAGGGGCCAGCUCUCAGCCCCCUCCUGCCCCGCACCCUCUUCAGUUAUUUUGUUAUUUCUGGGUGGAGGAGAGCAGGGACCGCGAAAAUGUCAGGCCGGCACAGCACCCAGCCCUGCCUCUCCUGCUCUCUGACUGCCAUGGAGACCCUGCCUGCCAGAGAGGAGGGGCACUCGGGGCGCAGGCCUACCUCCUGCAGAUGAGCUCCUGGGGGAGACAUGUGCACACAGCAGACCUGGUGGGCUUCCUGCAAGAAGAACACCUUGAUGGCCCUUGUGUUUUCCAGCACAAAUGCAAGUGAUGGUUUCUUCCUGCCAGUGCACGUGAUGCUGGCCCCCAGAAGGAGAGUCCACACGCCAAUCCCUGCCCGUGACCCCAGCCUCAUCUGGGGAAGGGUCUUUUUGAUGUAGCGUCAAGCAUGAGGAGAUGAGGACACUCUCGGUUGUGGCCUUAAUCCAAUGGCAGGCGGUCCAGCAGAGACCCACCGCAAAGAGGCGGCAUGGAGAGAUGUCCGGAGCCCCCAGAGCUGGCCGGGCCGGAAGGGACUCUCUCACAAGAGCUUCCGGAAGAGGCACACCCCUGCCCGCACCCUGAUUUUGGACUCUGGCCCCAGACCGGUGAGAACAGAUCUCUGUUGUUUCAGGCACCAGGCCCCGUCUGUGAUCGUUUAUUGUGUCUGCCCCAGGAAGCGCCGACGCCCCUUUCCCACACAGAAAGCAGGCCCAUCAGCUGCUCUGCCCUUCUCCUCCUGGUCCUGCAGCCCACACGGCAUCGUCAUGCGUUUCCCACAGCUGCCUGGUAUUUGGCAGUGUGGACAGACGGUGGCCUCUUCAUCAGCCCUGAUGAUGUCGGGAUCACCCCACACCUCCUGCCCUUGCCAGCCAGGUGGUACGGAGUGCCUGCAUGCAGCCUUAGUCAUUCAGCCAUGUCAAGCUCUUUGCAGCCUCAAGGACGGUAGCCCACCAGCCUCCUCUGUCCAUGGGGUUCUCCAGGCAAGAAUACUGGAGUGGGUUGCCAUGCCCUCCUCCAGGGGAUCUUCCUGACCUAGAAAUCGAACCUACAUCUCCUAUGUCUCCUGCAUGGGCAGGCAAGUUCUUUACCACUAGUGCCACCUGGGAAGACCUGGCACUGAAUAACCAUGAAUGAAGUUGCUGCUGGAGACCGCAGGUAUGGCAGCGAGGCUCACAGCUGAGUGCACCUGUGACCUUGCUCAGGACGGCCAAGUUGCCCUUGGAGCUAUUCCAUUCACACCAGGGAGAGACACAGCUGAAAAGAGAUUGCCUUUUGCCCCUUGGCCUUCCUCUUCUUCCUUCUUGGUGUGUAGAUGUGACAGCUGGAGCCCCUGCAGCCUUUUCUCUGUCCAUGAGGAUGGAAGCUAAGGCUAAGAAUGACAGAUCAGAAACA